rnacentral:misc_RNA from 1 species
GAAAUCGUCGAUGCCGACGGCAAGGUUCUCGAAGGCGAGGCGCAAGGCAACCUCUGCAUUGCCAAGUCCUGGCCCGGCCAGAUGCGCACGGUCUACGGCGACCACGCGCGUUUCGAGCAAACCUACUUCUCGACCUACAAGAACAAGUACUUCACCGGUGACGGCUGCCGCCGCGAUGCCGACGGCUAUUACUGGAUCACCGGCCGGGUCGAUGACGUC